AAAGCACAUGUGACUAGGGGCUGCCCUCUCAGGCAGCACAGGGUACACGGUGCAAGGCGCAGGGCGCGCUCUAGAGUGAAGGAGUGACGAGCAAAGGGGAGUAAUGGGCAAGCGUAGGCGAAGAGAGGAGGGCAGCGGGGGGUGCAAAGGUACUCAGUUUGCCUGCUGUGAGCGGGGGGCUGCACCCACCUUCUGCUGGAAGAAGCCGGGGUUGCCGCGGCGGAUGGCCAGCAGCGCGGUGUAGCGCAGCGUCUCGCGCACGGUGAGGCUGCUCAGCAGGGUGUCGCUCUGCAGGAGACUCGGGCGUCAGUGUAGCCCGAGCCCCCGGGGCGGGCGGCUGGCCAGGGGUGUGGGGGACGCGCCCACCUGCAGGACGUAGGAGAAGCAGUCCUGGAACUGCUCCCGGCGCAGCGUCCGGCCGUUCACAUACACCUCCCCCAGGAAGGUCCCCGUGCGCCGCAGCCUCCCGGACAUGGCGUCCAGCAGCGUGGUUUUCCCGGAGCCUGUGGGGCGACAACAGAAGGCCCUGGGGGAACCCCUCUAUGCCGGCCUUGGAGGAGCUUCCCGAGACCCUCUGUGUGGGCAUGACCCCGCGUGCCAGGAGUGCUACGUGAGGGAUCCUGUUCUAGGUAUUAAGGAUACAACAGGAUACAGGCCCUGCCCUGUAGAACGCGCACUGUGCAUGCAGCAGUCUCACGCGCAAAUGAGUCUCUGGAUUGUCCCCUGAGUGAGAGGGGACAUGCCAUUUCUUUCAUCUGGGUCAAGACCGAAGGUGCUUUCUCUGCUUGUUUGUUUGCCUUUAAAACUGUUUUGGAUUGAAAAACAAAAUACCUAUAGGUAUCAGAAUAAGAGGAAAGCCCAGACUCUUGGAAACGUUUGGAUCCUAGGACGGAUUUCUUUUUGUGGCCCCCCUUGGGCGGUCUGGUUGUACCUGGAUGUAGGUGACAUUAUCUAGAGCCUUGCUCACAAAGCAAGGAGCAUCAGCAACCCCUGAGAGCUUGCCAGAAAUGCAGAGCCCCAGGCCCCACCCGCGACCUGCUGAGUUAGAUCUGCUUCAGUCGAGGUUGAGAAGCACUGGCUUGGACGGAAAUCAUUUGCAACUAAAUAAUCUGCAAAGAAGCAUCCAAUCCAGAGUCUACGCCCUCCUCAACAGCAAACAACAAUUCAAAUGAGUUUCAGUUGGAGUUCCCCUGGAGUCAGAUGGCUCUAGGCAGGCUUGCUUUGGACUACGCUCUAGUGAGACUUUGAACAUAUAUGUCAUCAUCUUUUGCCUCGCUAAUAAAGAUUUGAUAGAUAACACUGCUAGAGAUAAGA